ACUGGGCGUCGUGGCGGGCGCCUGUGAGCCCAGCUUCUAGGCAGUAGAUUGGUGUGGAUGGAGUGAGGGGAGGAGUCCCGUGAUGGUUGCGGUGUACGGCGACCGGGCGUCCGCGCCAAGCGUUGCGUCGCCAGGGUUCUGCUGCCGGAGGGCGGUGGAACCCGGGCGGUCAAGGAGGGGUGCACGGCUCAGGCCCGAAAGGGAGCAGGCAAAAACCCCCGCGCUACGCAGUGGCCGGAUCGCGCCCGCGAGUGCUCGCACCAUCACGGCCUCUCCGAUACCUUCAGACCGCCGAU